GGGGGACGACUGUGGAGAGACAGAGAAGUGCGAGCCUGGGGCUGAGCGAAGACGGGAUCCCCUUUUUGACCCUCCAGGGAACAGGCGCCUGGGACUGAUUGGCCUGCAUGGGAUCAGGUGUCUUAGGACCCAAACAGAAGCAUUGGAGUACGUCUUCCCGGAAGGAGAAGUUAAGCAUGGUGUUUUUAUGUGUACUAAUAAGAUGCUCAGAAAAGCUUGUUUGAUGUCCAAGAAACUUCACAGGAGAAACAAAAAGACACAAUCUUUUAUGGGUGAC
ensembl:lncRNA